GGACCUUACCCACCUUUGACAUGUACGGAAUUUGCCAGAGAUGGCUUAGUGCUCGAAAGAGAACCGUAACACAGGUGCUGCAUGGCUGUCGUCAGCUCGUGUCGUGAGAUGUUGGGUUAAGUCCCGCAACGAGCGCAACCCUUGUCAUUAGUUGCUACAUUCAGUUGGGCACUCUAAUGAGACUGCCGGUGACAAACCGGAGGAAGGUGGGGAUGACGUCAAGUCCUCAUGGCCCUUAUAGGUGGGGCUACACACGUCAUACAAUGGCCGGUACAAAGGGUCGCAAACCCGCGAGGGGGAGCCAAUCCAUCAAAGCCGGUCGUAGUCCGGAUCGCAGUCUGCAACUCGACUGCGUGAAGUCGGAAUCGCUAGUAA
rnacentral:rRNA from 1 species